UGCAAGAGAUAACGAAGGGAAAAGGGUGUAAGCGUGUGGCUUCUGCCUCUCCGAUCUUUCUUCUUCUCCUAUUUUUUCUAAAAGGGAGAGGCAUUGGGAUGGAGUAAGAUCAAGAGAGCGGGAGAGAGAGAGUUGGAGGGGGCGUUUCUCCCGGGUAUGAUUAUCAGAUAUUUCCAAUACAUUGUCAACAUUGUGUCGUCUACUUGAGUAGGGGAAACUGGCAGGACUAAAAACAAUGGGACCUGGAAUAUUUCAGUGGUAAAUGAAGCCUCGCCCACCCCUCCACCUCUCUUCCACUGUAAUGAAGCAUGGAUAGGGGGAUGGGGAGAGGAAAGAGAGGAGAGAAGAUGGAGGGGAGGAAGUGGACGGAACGUUUGCUCCUGUCUCGACCACGGGUAUUCUUGGGUUGAUAAUACAGAUGUCGAUGUUAUUGCUUGAGAAUACGCGUAGCUGAGUGGAAGCCAUUUUCCUCAACCAACCUUUCCUUCUGGGGUCAUAUAGACAUACAGUAGCGACACCCUCCACCAAAGAUCAAUCUUCAUUUUUGUACUAUCAUUUGUUUUAAAUGUUCUACAUUAUAUGGACCCUCAGUGUUGAUCCAAGCAGGCUAGAAGAAGAAGGGGUGUGCCUCAACGCUGCCCAACACUCUCUCUCCGAGAUGUGUUGUGACCGGUACCUUGGGCGCCAACCAGACGUCCUCUUCAGAAGAAACACGUUCUCCUCAGCCUGCCGAUCCACAACCUUCUCCUGGGCCGGAUGACAACUAUCCAGGACCUCCAUCCUCUUUGCCAGUGACAUCACACAAUCCACUCUCUAUUCCCUAUUCUUCCCCUGAACUUGACAGUUGUUCACUGUUCCUGUUGGCACACACCCAAAGAUUCAGAUAGUGUCUAGAAAUCUACUCUGCCCUCCAGCUAGUAGUGCUUUAGAUUCAUUGUUUAACAUUACUGAGAUGGACACCCACAAUUGGCACAGCAGUAAGGUAACACAUUCACUCGAUACAUUUGGUAGCAUGAGGCUAGAAUAGCUUCCUUAAAAUAGCUACUCUCACACUUAUUAUUAUCAUGAUCUAAUGGAUUUAAUUACGCUAAAGAAAUGUGUGUUGCAAAAAUAGGAGUGACAAUGUGUGUAAAGGAUGUGUUACCGGCAAUUUGAGUGUGAUUUUGUCUGAAAUGUAAUCUGUUUGACAGCCUUGACUGUGGUAGACACAGCAGCCUCCCAUCAUGCACCAGGAGAAAAGGAUAAGAAUGGUUUUGACUAGAUGGUAUACAGCUACGGACGAAAGUUACUUUUUCGUAGCAGGUUAGUAGAAUUUAUGCUGAAGGUUAAGAAAAUUAACUUAGCAGGUUAGGGUAAUUAGAUUAAGGUUGUGAAAAGGGUUAGGGUUAGCUAAAAGGCUCUCCUAACCUGCUAUGAAAAGUCACUUCCGUCCAUACCUGUAGCCUAUCUAGUCACAACCGAUAAGAAUCGACCUGUUAAUACCACUGCUUAGUGCUAAUAGAAACAUGGUAAGACAACCAGGCAGCACUUUGGUGUCAAUUAUAUGCCAGUUAUUCUACAGGGCUGUGUGCAUAGAGCAGGCAUUCGGCAUUUUAAAUGUAAUUAUAAAAACACAUGCCCAGUGGAGACAUCUGUGGUAUGACCAAAGGUCAAUGUGGCAAUCUGAGGAAUUCAAAUAGUUUGCAGAAAGCAGAUGUUAUGGAAUAAGCAGUGUACUUUACCACUGUACUGUACCAUAAUGGACUGUAUAACAUACUGUUUUCCUAAUUUAGCUAAAUGCAGCCUUUACGGAAUAAGUGGCUACAUGUUGGAGGAUUGCCAUAAGGAUUUCAUUUAUCUUUCUCUAGGCAUACCGAUAACAGUGGGCAUGGCAAAACACUGCCCUCACACAUAGUUUUUGUAGGGUGAGUUUUGAAUGUUGGCUGCACUCAUGACCAUGAAACCUCAGGAAGGGAACCAGUAUUUCCUUUACAUUUUAAACUGAAUGUCAAUAAAACACAUGCUACUGUGUGCAAUAUUUCACGAUCAAUAAAGUGUUAGAUAACAAAAAUAGCAUUUGUAAAAAUCCUAUAAUUGUUUUUACAAUCCUGAAGUAGUUUACAUUUUAUAUUUCCGUU